UACAGAGGGUGCGAGCGUUGUUCGGAAUUACUGGGCGUAAAGCGCGCGCAGGCGGCCUUUUAAGUCUGACGGUGAAAUGCCGGGGCUCAACCCCGUGCCCGCCGGAGAUACUGGGAGGCUGGAGACGAGUAGAGGCAAGCGGAAUUCCGGGUGUAGCGGUGGAAUGCGUAGAGAUCCGGAAGAACACCGGAGGCGAAGGCGGCUUGCUGGGCUCUGUCUGACGCUGAGGCGCGAAAGCGUGGGGAGCAAACAGG
rnacentral:rRNA from 1 species